GCUCCCUCAUCACCAUUUUCUCACUGCAGCCAGAAGUUCAGGAAGGAACAAAGGCAACGUAAGUUUUUUUUUUUUUUGAGGAAGAUUAGCCCUGAGGUAACUGCUGCCAAUCCUCCUCUUUUUGCUGAGGAAGACUCGCCCUGAGCUAACAUCAUGCCAAUCGUCCUCUACUUUAUAUGUGCGAUGCCUACCACAGCAUGGUGUGCCAACCAUGUCCACAUCCAGGAUCUGAACCGGCGAACCCCGGGCUGCCGAAGCAGGACAUGAGCACUUAACCGCUGCACCACUGUGCCACCCCCUCUCCAGUUUUCAAACACAUGACUUCAUCGUAUCUCGAGGUCUCAGAAUCCAAAACUCUGUGGAAGAUUCUGUUG
rnacentral:lncRNA from 1 species